GUGUACUGCCUAUGGUCCAUGGGGGACAAUCAUUGAUGGUAUAUGCAUCUCUAGUGGGUUUGAUGAAAAAACCAUGACAUUUUUCCCCUUGCGUCUUGAGACCGGUCAGAUCGCAAAAUGUCUCAAGAAUCUCAAGGUUUUUCUUCAUACCUUCCCAGGAUCCACUAAGUAAGACCAGAUCAUCGGCAAAAGCCAUGGCAGUGAUCGAGCUAUUCCUAUGAUGGAACCCUUUUCCGUAUUGUUCUAAUUCACAUAAUAAAGGGUCCAGAGCCAAAUUAAAUAAUAGUGGAGACAUAGGGUCCCCUUGUUUAACUCCCACUUUUAUUUGGAUCGGAUCUGAUUGUUCCUUUUUAAGAGAGUCCAAGCUACUCCCCCUCUUUACCUGCACUGCAGACAAUGCUGUUUCUUUCCCACUCGGAGCCCCGGGCAGAGAGCACAGCAGCUUGGUGCCCGCCAAGGGCCUCGGCUAAGCGCUUGGAACCCGCUCUAGCCGCCCGACUCGGAGAGCGGGGCUAGCCGAUGAGCCCAGAGAGCAGCUCUACCCACUGCCCUGGGAAACCAGGUCUACCCGCUGGGUUUGGACAAGAGGUCUACCCGCUGGGCACAGAUGACAACUCUACCCACUGCGCACCUCUGCAGCUGAGCUGAGGCAGCCACAGCCAUGCCACCUAGGCAGAGUCCAAGUUACUCCCCCUGUUUCCCCGCCCCACAGAGAACAUUUCUUCUUUCACCCUCAGGGCAGGGGAAAGCCUUAACGCCAGAGAGGAAGUCUGCCGCAAAGGGCCACGGGAGAUGGAGUCUUCACAGUAAGCCCCCCGAGAGAGUACUUAACGGAGUAUGCCCGCUGGAAGGACUCGCUAAGAACUGUGGGAAAUCAGGGAGGUCAGGGCAGGUCCGGAAGGGCAU